CAAUAAGCGGAGGAAAAGAAACUAACAAGGAUUCCCCUAGUAACUGCGAGUGAAGCGGGAAAAGCUCAAAUUUAAAAUCUGGCGGUUCUUUGCCGUCCGAGUUGUAAUUUAGAGAAGCGUCUUCCGCGUCGGACCGUGCACAAGUCUCCUGGAAUGGAGCGUCAUAGAGGGUGAGAAUCCCGUCUUUGGCACGGAUCCCUGGUGCUUCUGUGAUGCGCUCUCGAAGAGUCGAGUUGUUUGGGAAUGCAGCUCAAAAUGGGUGGUGAACUCCAUCUAAAGCUAAAUAUUGGCGAGAGACCGAUAGCGAACAAGUACCGUGAGGGAAAGAUGAAAAGCACUUUGGAAAGAGAGUGAAACAGUACGUGAAAUUGUUGAAAGGGAAACGCUUGAAGUCAGUCGCGUCGACCGAGACUCAGCCUUGCCUCGGCUUGGUGUACUUCUCGGCUGACGGGUCAGCAUCAAUUUUGCCCCUCGGAUAAUGGCAAGGGAAAGGUGGCACCUUUACGGGUGUGUUAUAGUCUCCUGUCGCAUGCGAGGGUUGGGAUUGAGGAACUCAGCACGCGCCUCGGUGUCGGGGCUUCGGCCCACGUUCAUGUGCUUAGGAUGCUGGCGUAAUGGCUUUAAACGACCCGUCUUGAAACACGGACC
rnacentral:rRNA from 1 species